UACGUAGGGGGCAAGCGUUGUCCGGAUUUAUUGGGCGUAAAGAGCUCGUAGGCGGUUGGGCAAGUCACGUGUGAAAUCUCCACGCUCAACGUGGAGGCGCCACGUGAGACUGCCCUGACUCGAGUCCGGUAGGGGAGCGUGGAAUUCCCGGUGUAGCGGUGAAAUGCGCAGAGAUCGGGAGGAACACCAGUGGCGAAGGCGACUUCCUGGCCUGUUCUUGACGCUGAGGCGCGAAAGCUAGGGGAGCAAACGGG
rnacentral:rRNA from 1 species